AGUCACGGCCAUACCACCCUGAAUGUGUCCAAUCUUGUCUGAUCUUGGAAGCUAAGCAGGGUCAGACCUGGUUAGUACUUGGAUGGGAGACACGUUAACUUUUAAAU
rnacentral:rRNA from 1 species